GACGAACGCUGGCGGCGUGCUUAACACAUGCAAGUCGAACGAAGAGCGAUGGAAGCUUGCUUCUAUCAAUCUUAGUGGCGAACGGGUGAGUAACGCGUAAUCAACCUGCCCUUCAGAGGGGGACAACAGCUGGAAACGACUGCUAAUACCGCAUACGAUCUAAUCUCGGCAUCGAGGAUAGAUGAAAGGUGGCCUCUACAUGUAAGCUAUCACUGAAGGAGGGGAUUGCGUCUGAUUAGCUAGUUGGAGGGGUAACGGCCCACCAAGGCGAUGAUCAGUAGCCGGUCUGAGAGGAUGAACGGCCACAUUGGGACUGAGACACGGCCCAGACUCCUACGGGAGGCAGCAGUGGGGAAUCUUCCGCAAUGGACGAAAGUCUGACGAAGCAACGCCGCGUGAGUGAUGACGGCCUUCGGGUUGUAAAGCUCUGUUAAUCGGGACGAAAGGCCUUCUUGCGAAUAGUGAGAAGGAUUGACGGUACCGGAAUAGAAAGCCACGGCUAACUACGUG
rnacentral:rRNA from 1 species